ensembl:lncRNA
UGAGUCGUUCCCUUUCAUAAGCUACACACUUUAAUAGUACAUGUUCAACGGCCUCUGGUAGUCCACAUUUAUUGCAAUGACCCGAGUCAUGUUUGCAAUAAUAGCUAGCGUCUGAUCGAGAGCUGUGUGACCAAAUACGGAGUCUAGAUAUUAUCAUGUCCUGCUUCCAAAGUUUUUCCUUCCAUUUCCAACUUGUUUUUGAAUGUUGGUAGAUGAUAGAUGAUGACCUUUUACCUCCUCGUUUCUUUUCUUAAUCAUAGCCCCUCUAAUUACUCCUUUCAUUUCUGCUUUACUUUGUGUUAUUUUUGUAUCCAUGUUGGUGUUUUUCAGUGCCUUCUUAGCCAUUUGACCAGCUUACUUAUUUCCUUCUAUCCCAACACGUGCUGGUACCCAUAAGAAUAAUCUGCUCGAUCUAUUAAAUAUGCUCAUUUUGAACAUGCUUUGUAGAAUAUCAUAUAAUACGUCUUGUCUAGAUGUAGACUUGCCACUUAAUAAACUUGGUCGAAGGAGAAUACGAGUCCGAGCCAGUGACUGUUCUGAAUGGCUGAAUUUCCUCCACCCAAUGCAGCGCCAUCAGAAGCCGCUUUCCGUCAUGUGCCAGGGUCUUUCAAUCCAUCUGUAAAUCUCUCUUAGGAACAUUUAUCUUUUUGUUAUCCAUUUCUUCCCAAGUUGGCGGUCUACUAUCGGCAUUGGAAAUAACCACGGCGGUAUUGUAGGAAUCACCACCGUAGGACUUGCAUCUAUUCUCGCCAGUCCUGUACCCUCAGCCUUUCUGUACUGUCCAUCCAAAAAAUAUCAUUCGACUUAUUCUCCCACCAUCUUCAGCUGGAUGCGUCCUUUUAAAGAGGUCCAACAUACCAACGUAACUUAAGUCUGCGAAUAUCCACUGGCGCUCCUCCCAUUUCCGCCUGAACUGCCGAUACUGGAGAGGUUUCUAAAGGCACCACAACAUUCUCGCAAGGCUAACUUGAACCAUGUGUAUUUUUUACGAGCUCCUUAACGAGUGUCGUCCUGCACCGCGUCCCACCCGAUAAACAUCUCAAUAUUUACAUCGCGGCAUGUGGUGGAGGAGUUUAUCCAGACUGACUUACAUUUAUUUCAUUUAUUCAUUAAGGGCCUUGCUCAAGGGCUCAACAGCGGCAGCUUAGUGGUGCUGGGGUUUGACCUGACGACCUUCCGAUCAGUAACCACUGAGCUUUUUCUAUUUUCCAUACGGUCGCAACUUUUUCAGAAUUGGGAUUGUAGUAUUUUGACCACGGAAGGACGUAUCAAGGUCAUUCUCAUGGGCGGUUCUGGAAGCUGUCGCUAGGUUGCGAUGGACUUUAACAGACAGGAAUUACUGUGCAACAACCGCGAGUUGCCACCGAUGAAGGUAGAACCGAAGUCUAAAAUGCGAGAGAGAAAGAAAGAAGAAAGAAAAAAAACAAACAAACAGGAGAACGGAGAAAAGGAGUACUGACGAGAGAAGAAUAAUAAAAUAAAAAAAAAAAUUCAAGGACAAGGAUUUUGAACAACUAUUUAUUUCUCAUUUCUGAAUAAAAACCUCAAGCUGGUCACUGAAAGUACACCAUGCUGUACAAUUGCUUUAUUCAGGAAAUACAAACAAAACCAAAAAAAAAAGAAAAAAAAACCACGUUAGCCAAUCAAAUUCUUUUAGAAGAGAGAAAAGAAUCCUGUUUCACCUUUACAAAAUGAAACUCUGUAUGUACAGUCUGACAUCUCAUAUGAGCAGGAGGAGGAGGACCGGGGCAGUGUGUGGCGUUAAUGUGAUUAUUGCAUCAGUCCAGGACUCGCUCACUUCUCUCUCUCUCUCUCUCUCUCUCACACACACACACACACACACACACACACACACUCUCUCUCUCUUGCUAGGGCAAAAUCCCAAAUUUGACACACCAGAGGAUUUACACGUCCUCAGCACUGCACUACACGAGCAAGAGAGCGCUCGGUACAACCCAAAUACUUACGACACACAACUUCUCUGGCUCAUUAAGGCAUUUCCCUUCAUGCCAUCCUCCAAGCCACGACCAAAUCGUCCAAUCAGACGGCUCAUCCUGAACUGCAGGGCUUUAUACUAGCUGCCUACCAAUAGACCAAUAUUAUAAUAAUAAUAAGCCACAUGUAGCUAAGGUUCAUCGCGUAGCGCCUACAGGAAGUACACAAGAGCCACAAAGGUAACCUCAAGCCACGACAAGAACACGAACCUUACCGAGUCUUAUUGAUACGAGACGAAAGAACGAAGCACGAACGAGUCUUUCAUCAUAAACCUUGCACGAGCAGGAAAAGAAGAAACGAACGAAACAACAACAACAACAAAAAAAAAAAAAACGUAGAAUGCAUACAAACUCCCAAAUGCUGGUAGAGAAGCGGAGAAGUGCUCCGUUGACAUUCAGGGGGAGGGGAAAAAAAAAAAAGACGAAUUAAAUACCACGCGAUAAAGCAUCUCAAGAGCUGGAAUUCGUCCAUGAGCACAGCGGAGGAAUCCUGAAUUAAACUCAACACAGACCCUGGAUCAGCGGUCCUACACAAUCAACCCUCCGCACACACACACACACACACACAGUUCGUCACUGACGCAUCCGAAAAGCACGAGAUCAUCCGAUCGGCUAAUCACACCGCCAUGUGACCAUGACAUCACCGCUAUCCCUUCUGCUAUUCCACUUCUCCAGCUUAAUGGUACUGCUUUGGAGAAAAUACUGCAGCCUUAAAUUACACAGCUUGCGAUGUAACAGAUAUUAAAAGUAAACGAUUUUGUUGUAUAAUUCAAGCCAGCGACCAGGUUCACCAUCAAACUGUCACAUUUUUUCGUGUGUGUGUGUGUGUGUGUGUAUACACACACACAUCAGGCAUUUUUAUCUUAGUGCAAUGUAUAUCAUUAUAUUGUGUUGAACCUCAAGCUGAAAAAAGUGAAGAGUUAGUGGUAAUGUCAUGGUCUGACGGGCUUGCUCAGCACUUCUCUUUAUUUAUUUAUUUAUUUAUUUAUUUUUCUUUAAAAAGGGGGGGGGGGGGGGAUCAUUCGCGCAUGAGCUUGGGGACGCUUCAAAAGCUUCGCCAAAACGUCCUGAUUUGAUUUCAAACAAUCUGAAUCCCCACUCCAAGCAGAAACCUUUUUAUAGACCCUAAAAAGUUGAUUUUUUUUAAAUUUUAUUUUAAGAUGAGACCAGAGCGGCGGUGCACCAGAGCGUCGGGCCAGUCUCUAAACUCAUGACCUGGAUUGGUUGUAACGCUACCAGGUUCUCAAACAGAAUUCAAACCUCAUUACACAAGAGCUAGAUUCACGAUAACACGUUGUUCUUCACUUCAUACAUCCCCCCUCUCUCUCGGAUUCGAAGUUUAAUAAGACUUUAAAGAAAAAAAAACAAAACAAAACAAAAAAAACAAAACACAGAGCUACUCAUAUUUAAAGCCAAAGUAAAGAGAACAUGGCGCAGAAACAAACAAACAAAAACCCAGUUUGUGUAUCAUGGCGUUAUUCGUCUCUAAAGUGCAAAUGAUUUUGUUUUCUUUGAGGGGAUCUGAUCGUACUGUUAAAGAGUGCGCUGGACAAUCCCUGAAGAACUCGACAGACAACGCGCUUAGUUGUGCGGCAAAUGUAACAGAAUUGAAACACGUCGGCGUAUCAAAGAGCCUGACAAAAAAGACAUCUGCGUAAUCGGUGAAAGGCGAUACCCACUGGCGCGCGGAUCUCAACUUUAAUCAAUUCUAAGCGAGUGUGUGAUUUCUUUUUCCACCCAAAAGAAAGAAAGAAAGAAAGAAAGCAAGCAGUCUCUUCCAGCAGGGAACACUUCCUGUCUACAAUGGCACCGAAAAGACAUACAGGAAUAAUUCCUUAAACCAGAAAAAAAAUAUAUAUAUAUAAUAAUAUUUCUAAAAUCCCAUUGAGUGCUCGCUAACUUCACACCAGCAUUAUUACAUUCAACAUACAGUUGUCCUUUCUUAUUCAUUAGCCAACAUUUGAGAUCGGAGUUGAUUGAGAAUUUAGGAAACGCCGG